GGGUAAAGCUGGCAGUACAGGCCUCACCCUGCUGCCACAUCUCCUGCAGUUCUAAUGGCUGGGCUCACUCCCACCAUGCUCCUCCAACUGCAUCAAGUCUAUUUCCAGGCAGCCGGUGACCAGGGCUGAGAACUUGUCCCAGACCACGAGCCUCCCCGCUGAGAAAGCAAGCAGACUCACAGCUUUUUGGCCUCUCGGGAGCCUGCAGAGGAAAGGGUCUGUGGAUUAUCUUGGCUUUCUAGGAAUCAUCUAUGUGCUGGGGCUAUAGACUAGGUCAAAGGAGACUGUCAUGUAAAACAAAAAGUAUGGAUCUGGAGACGAGGAGAUUAUUGGGGUGAGCUCAAUUUAAUCACAUGAGUUCUUAAAGGCAGAUAAUCUUUCCAAAUGGCAUAGAGAGAUGAGAUGGAAGAAGAGGAAGAAUUCAAAGCAAGAGAGGGAGUUGACCUUCCAGUUGCUGCCUUUUAAGAUGGAAGAAAGGGGCUAUGAGCUCAGGAAUGUGGCAGCCUUCAGAGUGGCCCUUGUCUGGGAGCCAGCAAAUCUCAGUCUUACAACUGCAAUGAACUGAGUUCUGUCCAUAGCACCAAUAAGCAAGGAAGUGUAUUCUUCCUCACAGCCUCCAGAAGGCAAGGCAGCAUAUCAACAUCAUGAUUUUUAGACCAGUGAAACCCAUGUAGGUCUUCUGACCUACAGAGCUACUAGAUAAUACAUUUCUGUUGUUUAAACUACUAAAUUGAAGGUAUUUAUCACAGCAGCAGUAAGAAACUAACACAGCAUGUGAUGAGCAAAUAGCAUUACCAUGGGGAUUAGGGAAGUGUCAGCCUUUUGGUUUUCUUCCCUAAACUCUUUGCCAGAGAUAGAGUAUUCUGGUGUUGCCCAUCCAGCUACCCUUACCUUUCUGAAGAGAGUUCUGGGCCAGCUAGAUCUUUUGGAACUUUGUGAGGUUUAAUGAAAUAAGAGAAGAGGAAAAAGAAGAGUUAGAAUAGACCAAAGCUUCAGAGGAGGCUCUUGCACAAAGCUGUUAAUCAAGAGAGGUACUAAAUUUCCUAUGGGGCUGAAUAGGCUGAGGGUCAGCAAGUGCUCAGGGAACUGUAUGGAAAUGUGGAGGUAGGAGAGGCUGUCUAUAGACUGUCAGGACCCAAAUCUGAUGAAAGGGGUUGGAGGGCAGGGAGGGAAAUAGGAGAGAAGGAGAGCGAAGAGCGCCCAGGAGACACAGAAUUUUUAAGAGCUGUUAAGGAUUCCAUAUUCAUAUUCCAUAACUAUAUUUUUCAGAGAUAUAGGCAAAGAUUGGAUUUUUUUUAUAUAGACUAUGCUUCUUCAAAAACAAUUCCAUUCUGGACUGAACCAAGGGUCUAUGAUGAACACAUGAUAAGGACAAGAGAAAUAACUACCCUGAAAAUGAAUUAAAUAUUCAGACAAAAGAAAAUAUAUAAAAUCUGAUUCAAAUUGGCACUUUCUUGUCACUUUUCUCGAGUCUCUGUUUUAGAUUUAGAUAGAUUGCUAGAUGGAUGGGAUAACUGAGACUACUUUAUAAUAAGGUUCUUUUUCUAUGCCAGUAGUUAAGUCUCCCUGGACAGAAUAUUUUUAUUUCACUAAUUAAACCUCCAGCUUAAACUGAUGUUUGCUCAACAUCAAAUAGGAUUAUAGUUAGACCUACGUUCAAAUUAUAGCAACCCCUGUUAUUAACUAUCUGACAUUAAGGAUGAAAUUACCCAAUCUUUCAGGGUCCCAGUUUCUUCACCUCUAAAAUGGGGGUAAUAAAAUUUGUCUUUCAAUGUCAUUGUGAGAAUUAGAUACAAUAUCUAAAAAGUAUCUUGCAGAGUCCUUGGUACAUAGUAAGCAUUUAAUAAACAGCAGCUACUGUUAUGAUGAGGGAGACUGAAGGAUAUUAUUGUCAUAAUUUAACCCAGGAUAUGAAAGAGGACAAGUGGAUGACAGUUGGUAAAACUUAGUAGCAAUUUUCUUUGGAAUUGUUGACAUAAAUAAAUGCAUGAGUCCUUGAUUAUACAUUUUCCAACAACUUCAAUUAAUUGUGGUUUCAUUUCUGAAACUCUGUUUUCAACUCCAGGACUUGCACAAGUGAGAAACACUUAGCAUAAAAUUUAGAGUGAAAAAAAAAAGCAAUAUAGAAUCCAAGUGUUUGCUCCUCAGCAUGUUAUAAUCAUAACUAACCCCAUGCCCUUGCUCGUAAUCAAACUUUCUUUCCUUGAUUUCCCCAUUAUUUAUGAGAAUGUAGAUUAAAGCUCAGGCUGCAACACAGACCUUGGUCAAAAUUGAGAAGUGUUAAAAAUUGAUAUUUUUCAGCUUUCCCUUUAGUGUGAUACUCAAUCAAAUCUCCAAGGCCAGUCUUUAAGCUGUUGUCUACUGCUUGAGGUGUCUGCCGCUACCAGUGCACUCUGCCCAUCUGUCUCUCUUCUUUUCAGAGUCCAGGAAAUUCUUCUGUUGAAAUCCAUUUCUUUUGAAUAUUGGCGAACAGACACCGUCUACUCUUAUUUCAGUUGCUCUCUCUAGUUCACUGCAUAGACGACAUACUGGUUAGUUAACAACUUCAAAAUCUCAAUGGCUUACAAUUAAAAUAACGGUUUUCGUGUUCACCAGUCUGCAAGUAGAUUGUAGUGCAGUUUUGUGGGCUGGGAGAUUUUUUUUUUUAGGCUGCAGGUCUGUUGGGCUUAGCUGCAGGCUGUUGGCUAACUCCACAUCUAUUCCCAAUGUAUUUCGGUAUUUCAUCCUCCUUGGACUCCUCACCAUCCAGGGAAUGUCCUCAUGGUGAAGGGUUGGUGCACAAGCCAAAUCACACAAGCAUAUUUCAAGUCUCUGCUCACAACAUUUACUAACAUUCCAUUUACCAAAUCAAGUCACAUGUCAAGCCCAACAUCAACGGCAUGAGGAAGAAUGCAAAGUUACUGACAAAAGGCAUGGGAAUGUAAGGUGAAACUACAGGGAACUGCUGAUAUUUGACCAUUUUUACUUAAUCAAAAAUGAAAAUUUUAUAUAGCUUGACCUUAUAUUCCAAUUACCCAAGGAAAUGAAGAAUUAGAUAAUCUUCAUUUAAUUCAACCUACCACAGAUGGCUUCCAUUUAACAUACUGACUUUCACAACCAGUGUGUUCGUUUUUAAGAUGCUAAAACCUUAAUAUCUUUGAUUGGGUUAUAAUACAGCUACCUGCGACUUUGUGGACUCUAUCUUUUUAAAAAAUAUACAAUUUAGUAGUUGUUAGUGUAUUCAUAGAGUUGUGCAAUCACCACCAAAUCUAAUUUCAGAACAAUUUUAUCAUUCCAAAGAGAAACCUGUACCUGUUAGCAGUCAUUCUAUAUUUCCCCUCUCCCUAGUCCCUGGAAACCAAUAAUCUUUUUCUGUCUCUAAGCACUUGCCUGUUCUGAACAUUUCAUACAAAUAAAACCAUACAAUAUAAUAUUUUGUGACAGGUUUCUUUCACUUAGCAUAAUGCUUCCAGGUUCAUUUAAGUUGUAGACCAUCAGUAUUAAACUCCUUUUUAUGGUCAAAUAACCCAUUGAAUGCAUAUAUAGCAUGUUUUUUUUAACCAUUUGCUGGAUGUUUGUGUUGAUUCCAUUUUUGGCUACUAUGAAUUAUGAACGUGUACGCACACGUUUAUAAACGUGUUUUUCUGGGUACAUAAGUUUUCAAUCCUCUUUGAUAUAUACGUAGUAGGAUUUCUGGGUUGUGUGGUAAUUCUAUGUUUAACAUCUUGAGUAACUGCCCCAAACUCUUUUCCAAAGUGGCUGCAGCAUUUUACAAUCCCACCUGCUAUGUAUGAGUUUUCCAAUUUCUCCACAUCCUUACCAACAUGUGUUGUUGUCUGUCUUUUUAAUUUAGCCAACCUAACGGGUGUGAAGUGGUGAAGUCUUAUUAUGGUUUUAACUCACAUUUCCCUAAUGACUAAUGACUUAGAGGUUUUUUUAUUGCGGUUAUUGGCCAUUUAUAUAUCUUCUUUGGAGAAAUGUCUGUUCAAGUCCUUUGCCUAAUUGGCUGUCUUUAUGUUGAUGAGUUGUUAUGAACUGGAUACUAGAUUUUUAUUGGAUAUAUGAUUUUCAAAUAUUUUCACCCAUUCUAUGGAUUUUCUUUUGACCUUCUUGAUAGAGUUCUUUAAUGCAAAAAUGUUUUUAACUGUGAUGAAGUUCAAUUCACAUACUUUUCUGUUGCUCUUGUUGUCUGUGCUUUUGUUGCCAUAUCUAAGAAAUCAUUGCCUAAGCAAGGUCAUGAAGAUUUCUACCUCUCUUUUUUCUAAGAGUUUUAGCUUUAGCUCUUACAUUUAGGUCUAUGAUUCUUUCAAGUUAAUUUUUGUAUAUGAUGUGAGGUAUGGCUUCAACUUCAUUCUUUGUAGGUGGAUAUCCAGUAGUUCACACACCAUUUGUUGAAGACAUUAUUCUUUUCCUGAUUGAAUUCUCUUGGAAUGCUUGUUGAAAAUCAAUUGACUAUAAAUGUAGGAAUUUAUUUUUGAAUUCUCAGUUCUAUUGCAUUGACCUAUGUGCUUGUUGUUAUGCUAGUGUCACACUAUAUUGUUUAUUACAACUUUAUUGUACUUCUUUUUUUGAGAUAGGGUCUUGCUCUGUUACCCGAGCUGGAGUGCUAUGGUGUGAUUAUAGCUCAUUGCAGCCCUGACCUCCUAAGCUGAAGCGAUCUUCCCACCUCCAGUCUCUCAAAUGUCUGGGACUAUAGGCAUGAGCAACCAUGCCCAGCUAAUUUAUUUCUAAUUAUUUUUGGAGAGAUGGGGUAACACUACCCAGGGUAGUCUUGAACUCCUAGGCUCAAGUGAUUCUCCUGCCUCAGCCUCCCAAAGUGCUGAGAUUACAGGAGUGAGCCACUACACCUGGCCUAUAGUAAGUUUUGAAAUAAGGAAGUGCAAAUCUUCCAACUUUGUUUUUCUGACUAUUCUGUGCCCUUUUCAUUUCCAUAUUAAUUUUAGAAUCAGCUUGUCAGUUUCUGCCAAAAAAAAAAAAAAGAAGCCAAACUUGAAUUUUGAUAAGCAUUAUGUUGAAUCUAAAGAUCAGUUUGGAGCAUACUGCCAUUUUAAGAAUAUUAUGCUUUCUGAUCCAUGAACAUGGGAUGUAUUUCUAAAUAUUUAGGUCUUGUUUUGUAGUUUUCAGAGUACGAGCAUUACAGUACUUUGGUUAAAUUUAUUUCUAAACAUUUUAUUCUUUUGAUGCUAUUAUAAGUGGAAUUGUUUUCUUAUUUUCAUUUUUGGUUUGUUCAUUGCUACUUUAAGAAAUAAAAUUAAUUUUUCUGUAUUGAUUUUGUACCCUUCAACCUUACUUAAUUCAUUUAUUAGCUCCAAUAGUUUUUAAAAAUACAAAUUAAUUAGGAUUUUCUACAUACAAGAUUCUAUGUGAAUAGAGAUAUCUUUAUGUUUUCCUUUCUAAUGUGGAUGGUUUUUAUUUCUUCUUCUGACUAAGUGGCCCUGGCUAGAACCUCCAGUGCAAUGUUAAAUAGAAGUGGCAAGGGUAAUCAUCCAUGUCUUGUUCUUAUGGAGAACAUUUUUCAUGUUUCAAACUAAGUAUUGGUUUUUUACGGAUGCCCUUUAUCACACUGUGAAAGUUUCCCCUAUUUCUAGGUUUUUGAGUAUUUUGAUCAUAAGGGGCUGUUUUUAGUCUCUUUGUGCUUAUUUCACAUACUUUCACAAUGAGGAAUCAAUGUUUUACUUUCACAAUGAGGAAUCAAUGUUAGGGUUUAGUUCUUGAUGAAAGAAAGACCUUCUUCUCUUUAAUCUCAAUACUUAAGAGUAUCUUUCUUGCCCCAACAGCUUUUAGGUUUAUUGUAACUAAUAUACUCAAUUCUAAAAUAUAUCCAUUAAUUCUUAUUUGUUUAACUUUUAGAAAACAUUCAGGUUAAGAUGAAUGCACACAGAUUAAAAAUUUUAGUGAUUGCAAGGCAGCCUGCUUAUGGCAAGCUGUGUUAAUAAUUUUUUCCAUCAAAAUCUUCUGACCUGAAACAAAUGUGCAACUCUAUAAUUUUCCCAUUUUAAUUAACUUAAAAAAAACUAAUACCAACUGAAAAAAUUUUAAAUGAGAUCAUUAGCCCAAAGAUGCACAUUUUUUUCCUCUCAACAAUCAAAAUAAGAAGAAUUUAAAAAGAAAAUUUUUAGAAAGCUUAAAAUAAAACCCCAAAUGCAUAUACUAUGCAUUUUAUAUUUUGUCUGAGUCCGUACUUAUCAAAUAAACAAAAAGUAUAAAUCUAAUAGACUUCACCCUGUUCUUUUUUGUCUUGUAGUUCAGCAUCUCUUUUCUAGUUUACUUAUGUUUUCUUGUUUUUCUCUUGGCUCAAGUAAAUAUUUCAUAGAUAAAAUGUUCUCCAAACCCUUAAUCCCAAAUGACAGCAAAUAUACCGUCUCUGAUUGAGGAAAUGAACAUAAAAUAGGUAGUACAUACCUUAUUGCCAUUUUUUUUAACUUUGUGGUUCAUAAACUAUUUUUAAAAACUGAUGCCCACUAUGGGUCCACCCCAGAGAAAAAUGCACACAUGCAUAGAUAACUAAAAUUCUGUAUAAGAUUUUAGGAAGUCCUCAUAUGUACACAGAGAAUAUGAAAAAAAUUCAAUAUGUGUUCAAGCCUAUAUGUAUAGUUAAUUAAGCAGGUAUAACAGGAAAAUUUCAAAGACAUAGGAAUUACAAAUAUUUUUUCACAUUUUGCCUGUCAUUUUUGUGUCCAGUUUAGCCUCAUGUUCCAGACUAUCACAUUGGACAUCCCUGAUGUUUCAAAUGCUUUAGUCUUUUGCAGAGAAACAGAGAAAUGAUCCUGCCUCAUGGUGCAGCAGACAACUGGUUAAUGCUCUGUGGACUUGAAAGGAAGACAGCAAUACAGAGAAACAAUAUUUCAUUUUGCCUAGGAUCUCUUUUUUAUUGAAUUCCUUGCCCCUUUGUUCCCUUCUCUCCCAGCUAAGAGCUUCCCUUAUUGUCUCGAGGAUGGGAAAACACAAGUUGGGGGAAGGAGGAGGCUAAUUUUUCAGUGAGGCUCUUCAAUGCCAAUGACAUGACAGAUGGAUUUGGAGGUUCACACAAUCACUUUUUCUUUAAUCAUGCUGGCUACCACAUGGUGCAGAUAUACAAUUGGAAAUGAAGGUUCAUCCAGGAGGGAUGUUUUAAAGUAUGUACCUAUGCAAAAACUACGUACAGACAGUUUGCAGAGCAUGGAGCAGCCUUGCAUUCUAGAUAUAGAGCCCUGCUCUAAAAUGCUGUAGUGUGCAUGGGUGUGUGAGUGAGCAGGCAUGUGCGUGCACACACACACACACACACACACACACACAUACACACCCUCCUAGUUGAACAAUUGUCUUAUAAAGAUUCUCUCUGAAAGAAAACACAUUUUAUCUGAAGUGCCACAAAGAGAAGAAGAUUCAUGCCAUCCAUCAAUCACUAGUAACUGGCAUUCAGCUCACAGAUAGACUCUCCUCUUUUAAUUUUUAAAUCACCGUAUCAAUCAAAGCACCGUAUUGUUCUCAGUCUCAUUUUAGCUAUUCUGAGUAGAUCCUAUCUUCUAGUCUCCUACUUGCUUCUUGGAUUUUCUCCUGUUGUCUGUGUCUUAUAGAAAGCAUUCACAGGCUUCUGAGACACAUAGUUAAAAAAAGGUAUUCAUUUUUCUCUAGUUAAUAAAUACACGAGUUUCCUUAGGAAACUGUUUGUGUUGGCUCAGUGAGGUUCAGGCUAUCAAUCUCCAACUUGGGUCAUUGUGACAUGAGAGCGAGGUACUGGCAGUGAACCUAUGGCUGAGGAAGAGAGUUCAAGUUGAAGCUGCAACAAACAAAUCCUAGAGGCGAUUCCUUUAGCUCUGGUGCCUGGUGUUUUCAGAGAAUGUCCUGGGAAAUAAAACUUUAUGGUGGCUUUGCCUUCAUAAAUCCCAGAGGAAAUUAAAAGGAAGAAUACUUAACUUUCAGUAAACCAUCUUAGCCCCACUUCUGAUCCCAGGCAAUCCACUUUGUGUGCUAUUCAUUUCAGAGCUUUCCAGGGUUCAACUGCAGAGCUCUAGUAUUGGUUUGUCUUGAAGAAAAACAAGGUGGUAGAUUAUAAUUAUUCUCUUUUGUGACAUCAGACAGUAAACCCUGCAUUACUGGCAGAAUGGAGCAUUGUUUCUAAUGGUAAAAUGUUAGAGUACUAUAGUUGUCCAUCUGACACUUUUGAGGACAAGCAAAGAGAAAAAGUUAGUGGUUCUUUCCUUUUUCAUCUAAAACUGUUUCAUUUGAGGCAAUAUUUUGAUCACCUUUUAUGAGCUGCAUUGUCCUUUUUUUUUUUUGAGGUGGAGUCUCAUUCUGUCACCAGGCUGGAGUACAGUGGUGUGAUCUCGGUUCACUGCAACCUCCUCCUCCUGAAUUCAAGUGAUUCUUGUGCCUCAGCCUCCCAAGCAUCUGGGACUACAGGCACACACCCCUGCACCCAGCUAAUUUUUGUAUUUUUAGUAGGGCUGGGGUUCUACCACGUUGGCCAGGAUGGUCUCAAUCUCUUGACUUUGUGAUCUGCCCACUUCAGCCUCCCAAAGUGCUGGGAUUACAGGCAUGAGCCACUGCACCCAGCUGCAUUGUCCUUUCUAAUGGAGAAACCAGACAACUACUCAAUAGUAAUCCUCUCCAUAUUUAGGAAAGCAUGAGAUAGGCAGAGGAAGUGGGCAGUGCCAAGGAGAGCAAGGCUGAAAUAUUGGAUAUAGUGUUGGGAACUUCCAAGCUCUCCUGCAACACCCGAAAUGGUUUUCUAGGGACCCAAAACCAUCAACCUGCCUCAUUGGUUGUGUCAAACUCACUCUCAAGGAGCACCAUAUAGGAAGGAUGAUAUCUAUUAUUUAGAAAUUACAUUUAGCAAAAUUCCAUGUGUAUAAUUGCAUCUCAUUUUCUUUUAAACAAUACAGAAAAAUAUGAAAAAUGAUUUGGCUUCUAUUACGCUUAAAAGCUUAUUAAAUUAAUUUAUACGAAUUCAAUAUGUUUUGAGAUUCUACCAGGGCAUUGUAGGCAGAUACGAAAGAGGAUGCAACUGCUAAAAAAAUAUAAUUCCUGCUUUCAAGGAACUUAAAAUCCUGUAUAUAAUUUAAAUAAUAUCUGUAACAAAUAAUAUUUAAAUAAAAUCUGUAACAACAAAAUCAUUUGCAAGUCACAUAUUUGCAUAUGCAAAUUAAAAAGCAAAAAUAUUUGGCAAUUUGAAGGUAGGUAUCUAUGAUUACAUCUUUCUUGAAAUAUAUCUUAGGAUUCAUUAUGUUCAAUUGUACUUUGAUACAAGAACCAUGACAACUUGUUAGAGAAAUGUGCUGCUGUCAUGCCAUCUAAUAGUUUUCUCUCUGUUCACUGUCCAAACUUCCAGCUAUAAAAAGGUUGACUUGUAAACAAAUGAUUUCAGGAAACUUUCAGACAGGCAACGAUGAUUCAUUCAGAUCUUCUCUUAUCUGGUAUUCUUGACAUUUGGGCUGUACAGCAUGUAUCCUGCAGCUUGCAUUACACAUUUAGCUCCAGGCAUACUUGAUAUACAUACUUGACUAUUUAAUGAAAAAAUGCUAAAAUGUCAUAUCAUCAGGCUGGAAUGGAUAGUUUCCUACAUAUAUAGCUACUGGCUAACUGCACAUCCCUACAGGAAAAGACUUCCCUCCCCAAAACCCCAUCAUUCAUUUGUCCUUAAAUCUUGAGUGCAUUUGUUCUAAUCUUAUGCUCUUAGUUCCUGGCUUAAGAGAAAGUCCUUAGAAAUGUUUUAAAUACUUUUUCUCCUACUCUUUUUAAUGCUCAGUCUUGGUGCUUCUGUAAUUCAACACUGGUAGUUAAUGUGUUGUGUUCACAAAGACAAACCCAUACCAAGGUGAGAACUCCAGCAGCAGGAAGUCAGACUUCCCCAGUGUCUCCUGGCUCCUGAGGGUUUGGUGACAUUACCAGAGGAUGACUUGCUGACUACUUUAAAAAACAUUUAUCAAACAGUUUAAUAUCUAUUGUUCUUCAGAUUUCUAUGCACUUUUGCCCAUUUAAUUCUUAUUUUAAUCCAAGGAGGUAGAUAUUCUAAUAGCCCCAUUUUACAGAUGGUGAUGAGGGAACUGAGUUUCAGGGAAGUUAGAUGUCUUGACUGUAUUGACGCUUAAAUUCUGGUCUUCAGAGCUAGUUCCUUUUUAAUGUAACUCAAUUUUCUCCCUCAUUGUAACCUAAGAAGAAUGCUGAGCCUGAAAUGAGAAAAAUCAGUCAACUACAUGCUACAUUUUAAGCUAUAAUAGGAAGUGUGGUGGGGUUGUACUUUCUAAGUUUUCUAAAUGAUGUUAACAAAAACCCCUCAUUUAUUUCAGCCUGAACAUUGUAAUAUAACACUUCAGCAUUUUCCAUUAAAAACAAGAAAUUGACACAUAUUCAAGUAAACUAAGGAAAAUCGUAAUUGUUCAUGUUUCAAAAAUGUCAUUGGAUAUGUUAGCCAAGAGGAUUGUUACUCUUUAUGUAUUGCUGUGUGAAUAAAAUGCAUGAUUUUACAUUUCAACCCAUGUUUUCAAGCCCUCGUGUAGGCACUUCAUGACUGCAGCUUCAUUGGCUAUCUAGGCUGUUUUCUCAACUAAUUCAGGAAACCAGCACAUAUACAUGUCUCAGUGGACACACCACCAGCUUUCUGGGCUUCCGAAUCCCUGGUUUCUCUGGGUCUUUUCACAUCAUGUACAGACAUGUCCUUGGCUUCAAGAUUCCAAAAGGGGCUUCCUUUAGCGAACACCUCAGGUCUCUUCCCUGUGCCCCUUCUUACUUCUUCACAUGAGAGAAGGGGUUGAUGUGGGAUCAAUUGGGUUUGCAAGAAAUCAACAUCAUUUGGUCCAUGUUUUGUGAAUGCUUUGUGAAUCAAAGCUCUUAAAAUGCUGCAAACACAAAAGACUCCCUUGUUUCUUUUCUGUCUGAUAUGAAGCAAUUCUGAAUGAACAGUUUGCUCUGGAGACUCAAACUCUUCUUAUGGCAGAGAAUAUUUGAAAGCCCAACUUAGCUACCAAGUUAGUCAUGUUCCCCAAUUGAUUUUAACUGUGAUGAAACUAACGUUUUAAUCCUUGUGUUGUUGCUUUUGUAUCUCAGCUCUCAGUUGACUGGAAGAUGUUAUUUAUUGUCUCCCAUACACAAUGGGAACAAAUAUUUCAACCCUCACACCUGCCAAUGCCAACCAUCUGAAUCUAGACAACCUGAAUCACAGACAACCUGAAUCUACAGGAAGGUCGAAAGCAGAACUUGAGAUUUUCACUGGUUAUUUGCUGUUGUUAAAUCCCAUAGGGACAUCUACACUAGAUGAAGAGGGUCAUCUACAGAGUGAGCACUGUGCAAGGUGAUAAAGAUACAAAGAUGAUUAGGACAUGCCGGAUGCCCUGAGGAAUUUGCAGGACGGUAAAAGAGAUAGGCAGAUAGGCCACAGGUGAACAGCAAUAUGAUCAGUGACAUAACACAGUAUAUUUAGUGACAAGAGAGGCACAAAGCAGCGAUUGCUAACUCAGAUCCUAUGGUGAGGGGAUAGGACUGGGACUAGGUCUUGCUGGAUCAGGAGGCUACAUGCAUUGAGUCUUGAGGAUUACAAAUAAUUGGACAAAAAGAGAAGCUGGGGGAAAGAUGUUUCAGGAAAGAAGUGAAGGAUGUGCUCAGGAAAAUGCUUAGAAUGCAACAAGCCCGAGAAGAAAAAGUCUGGGAGUUCUUGAUGAGGCUGAAGAGCAGACACAGGGGACAUGUUCCUCUGCAUUGUAUCUAGUGUGGAAAGGGGAGAGUAUUUUCCAGCACAUCUCAAUGUCCCUGCUGCCGCCCGAACCGUGUCCUGGGGAAUGGGAUGUGUUUAUAAACUGAGGCUGAGAUCAUAAGAACAGACCUCCACCCAAAGCACAUUCAUUGAGAGUGGGGUGGUCCCCAGAGGGGAGCUGAAGGUACAGUCACUGAUUGAGUAGAUGCAGGAGAGCAGAGAGAACACAUGUUCAUUGGAGAGGGAUGAAUUUCUACAAGACCCCAAGAGCUGGGAGGUGGUCAGGGUCAAUCUUACAGGAAAUUUCUAGGUUUGAAUCUCAGCUCUGCCACAGACUCACAGAUCUCUCAUUGCAUCAGUUUCCUCUUCUGUGACAUGGAGCUGUUUCUCUAGAAUUGUAAAAAUAAGGAGGAAGAGGGUGAAAUGCAUUGUAAGGUUCCUUGGCAUCUGAGGAUAAAAUUCUGCUAUCACAACAGAAGGAUUUUUUAUAAUGGCCAAGAAAAAAAAUAUUUUGAAUAUGGAAGAAAGUAUGUAAAGUGAGUAUUCCUUUUAAACAGUUGAGUUGUGUUUCUAGUUUGUAUCUUCAGUUAAUCCUCCAAGAGUCUCUUAUCUGGGCCAGCACUGAUUAGGUUCUUGGUACUGUGAGCAUCAUGGGUCAUUUGGCCAUACUCAUGGCCUCACAGGGGGAAGACCAAGUUCUCUUUUUUUAUUCUUCUGCAACUGGGGCUCAACAUCCAUUUAAGAGAUAUUCAUUAAAUACAUAUCCUAUGCCAAGUGCAGAUUGGGUGCUGGAGUUCAGAGUGAAUCAAGCAAGGUCCCUGUUCUUAAGUAUCUCCCACCUGAGUAGAGAAGCAAGCCAUGCAAACAGAUGGCUAUGAGGAACUAGUGAGGACUGCCAUGGAGGUAUGAAUGCUGCAGAGGCUCAGGGCAGAGAGGUAAGGCCUAGGCAAAGAAGGCAAACCUGAGGUGGGUCUUAGGGACUGUGGCAGAGUUUUCAACAUAGAGUAGGAUAGAAGGACCUUCCAGAUUGAGAGGAGCAUGAUCACAUGGAGGCUGCUCAGGAGAUGAUGAGAAGCUGACCCAGGGAAGUGGCAGGAGGUGAAAUGGGCAGCAGCCAUGUUGGAAAGAGCUCAGGACACCGUGCAAAGGGAUUUGGACUGCCUACUGUGGGCCACAGGCAGCAGUGGGCUGUGAGUCCCUGCCAGUAACUGGGGCUGAGUUCCUUGGGUUGGUCCCAAGUGCUCGGGUUUUGGAACAGCUUUUUCUGUGGGAGCUUUGCAAGAGUCCAGCUGCUCCUGGCUCUUCUCUUCUCUCCACCUGUUCCUCACCCAGACCUCUGUAGCCAGCCGGAAGGGGUGGGGGAAUCAGUGCAAACAAUCCUCGAUGCCAGCACCUCAUCCUCCACGCCCGCAGUUCCCAGGCAAGAACCUCCAGCAGCUGCCACUGCUUCCCAGGGGGGCCCAGACAGUUGUCUUUUUUGGCACAUGGUGCAGGGAGCUGGUGGAGAUUUGCCAUUUUUUCCCACUCAGGCUCUUCUGACUCACUGGCUUCCUAGAAAAAAUUCAAGUAGACUUAGGCACUGACUUUGAGGAAGUUCGAGCUCAAAAGCAAGAGAGAUGCCACAGCUUAGCAAGAGAACUCUUCUUGUCACCCGUGCCCCACAUACUUGGGAUUCUUUAUAGAAUAGUCAAAGCUUUCCACAGUCAAAGAUAAAAGGCUGAACCCCACAGGAGCUUGGGUAACCAUCACACGAUACAAAUGGUUUGGUCUCACCAAGCCAUUUCCUUUCCUUUAAUGUGGAGGAAGAAUUAGAAUUUUAAAAGCACAAGGCAAUAAAGUCAAAAGGAAGAGAAAAUUGCCCAUAUAUGCCAGGCACUGUGCUAGUAAGUUGUAUACAUUAUGAAAACUAAUUCUCACUGCAGCCCAGUGAGAUGGAUAUUAUAAUCUUCAGUUUAUGGGAGAAUAAAUUAAUGCUCAGAGAAUGUAGAUAACUUGUCCAAGUGAGCCUUAGGAUUCCACAGCUGUCUAACUGGAUGAUUUUAGAGGAGAGAAGGAGACGCUGGGAUCACUGAAGACCAACUUCACUGAUUUUGCUUUGUGUACGCAGUGAAAGAUGGGUUGCCCCAGGAGCUUGGGGAGUACUGGUGCUGUAGCCUAGAGGAGUUUAUAUUCUAGUUGGGUAUAAAAUGUUAGGAACGAAUGACCCAUGGCAUUUAGUUAGGUAUAAAACUGUCAAGGAGUAGUUAUAGAACUUUAGAACUAGAGGAUUUGUCUUACAAAUUAUCUUAUCCAAUUCCCAUUUUACCAGUGGGGAAACUGAGGCCAAGAGAAUGGAAACCACUUGCCAAGCUUAGCUCAUUUGCAGAAAAGCGUGUUAAGAGCCUGUUUUUAAUUACCAGCUGAGUGAAAUCUCCACUUCCUUUUCAACAGAUAAUCUCCUUCAUUGUACCAUGCAGUUUUGGUGUGAUCUUUCUGCUUCCUUCACGAAAACUAGUGGCAGACUCAGGCCUGGCUGGGAUGCCUUGUGGAAGAGAUGUGUGGGUCUCAGGUGCCCUGGCAAGGUCAAGGGAGAGGGAGAAACAGGAGCAAGGAACACUGACUGUAUUUCUUCAUAAACUUUAGUUCCAGCCAUGAAAGUACAAAAAGUAAAUGCCCUCCAAAAACAGUAAUAACUCUCUUUUGACAAGUAUUUCAAACUAUCAAAAUAAUUUUGAUGUCCAAUGAGGGUCAAUUAAGAGGAUUUUUGCCUAUAUUCAUAAAAGUUCUAAGACCCGAUCACUCAAUUGGGACAUUAGGAGGGAAUGGUGGGAUAUAAACUGAAACCAAAACAUUCUGUAUGUUAUUGAAUUUGAUAUUCACAUAAGUUAUUUAUAAUCGUGGAGCAGGUGAAGUUGUUUUCCUUGCUGCCAAUUGUCUCAUGUUGUUGUCCUCUACCUCUGGGGAAAUUUCUCAGAACAAGAUAUAAAACUCACUCAUUCUGAAGUGUAAAUAGCUAAUGAUGUUUAAAGUAAUAUUUCUCCUAGGAGUAUUUCAUUGUAACAUUUUAAGUCAGAUAAAUGAAGCUUUGUUGAAGAAACAGAAGGCUUUAUUUCAAGGUAGAAGAGAAACUCCUAAGGGUAAACAGAACCUUCUCGGGCUUCUGAAAUCACACUAUAUAAGUUGUUCUUUAGUUUUUCAGCUAGAGGAGUCCUUUCUGCUUUUAAACAUAAUAGCUAUGGAAGCAACCAAAUUCUCCUCAGUAAGUGACUGGAUAAAUUGUGGUACAUCUAGACGAUGAAAUAUUACUCAGCACUAAAAAGAGAUGAGCUAUCAAACUAUGAAGAUAUGGAGGAAAUUUAAAUGCAGAUUACUAAAGGAAAGAAGGCAAUCUGAAGAGGCUACCUACUGUAUAAUUCCAAUCAUAUGACAUUGUGGAAAAGGCAAACCUAUAGAUCAAUAAAGAGAUAAGUGGUCACCAGGGAUUAGGGGUGGGGGAGCUGUGUGAAGGGAUGGAUAGGAGGGGCACGGAGGACUUUUAGAUUAGAGAAACUUCUCUGAAUGAUGCUGUAAUGGGUAGGUAUAUGUCAUUAUAAAUCUGUCCAAGCCCAUAGAAUACACAAGGCCAAGAGCAAAAUCUAAUGUAAACUAUAGACUUUGAGUGAUUGAUAUAGUUUGGAUAUGUUUCCAUGCCCAACUUUCAUAUUGAAAUGUAAUCCCCAGUGCUGAAGGUGGAGCCUGCGGAGAGGUGACUGGAUCAUAUGGGUGGAUUUCUUAUGAAUGGUUUAGUACCAUCCCCCAUGACACUGUCUUCAUCAUAGUGUGUGAAUUCUCUGAGGUCUUUCUUUAAAAGUGUGUAGCACCUCCCCCCAUUGCCUUGCUCUUGCUUUCACCAUGUGAUGUGCAAGCUCCUGCUUUGUCUUCCGCCAUAAUUGUAAGCUUCCAGAUCUUCCUGUACAGCCUGCAGAAACUGUGAGCCAAUGAAACCUCUUUUCUUUAUAGAUUACCCAAUCUCAGAUAUUUCUUUAUAGCAAUGCAAGAAUGGCCCAAUACAGUGAUGAUGUGUCAAUGAAGGAUUAUCAAUUGUAACAGAUGUGCCACUCUGAUAGGGGCUGUGGAUAAUGAGGGAGCCUGUGCAUGUGAGGGGGAAGAGGGUACAUGGGACAUCUUUGUACUUUGCUCUCAAUUUGGCUGUGAACCUAAAACUGCUCUAAGAAACUGUUUUUUAAAAAUAGCUAUCAAUUAGUUAAUAUAAAUCACAUGUCUAGAAUUUACCUAAUUCUAUGAGUGAAUAACAGUGUAUUAAACAUAUUGAACCUUUAUUAAGCACCAGCCAUUUAAAUAAGUAAUUUACAUUUGAAACUAAUUUCAUCUUCCAGCUCCUCUCCGAGGUAGGUGUUAUUAUUACCAUAUCAAUUGUAUGGAUAAAGGAGUCAAGCGUAUAGAGGCCAAGUAAGUUGCCAAGAAAGAUUUUAGUGUUCCUACUUUGCAGCUGAGAAAACUGAGUUUAAAGAGAAAUAGAAACUCUGAACUACUCUUUGUUUCCUUCCCCGGUAUUCUCUAACUCUAGUUAACAUGGAAAACAGUAUUUGCUUGUUUUUGUUUUGAGAUUCUGCUUUCUAUGUGAUGUUUAGUAACAGGCUGUCAUUACAUCUGAAGUGAAUAGAAAUAAGUCCAAUUUGGCUCAUGUUCCAAAACAAAAUUGAUAAGGGCAGAUUCUAUGUGGGUCAUUUAUGGACAUAUGCGACUACAUUAUUUUCUGAAUGAACAUGGAAACCAUGAUGAUUAUGAUCUUUUGAAAAAAUCAUGGUUGAAACAGAUCCAACUUAAUUAUGAGAUUUGCCUUAUGAGAUUGUGUGUACAAAUCAUCAAGGAAAAGAAAGAACAGAAGGUCACAGAAUUUGCAUCCGUGCAAGCAUAUGGAUCAGUGUCUAAACACACACACACACACACACAGAAAGAGAGAAAGAGAGAGAGAGAGAUUUCCACACAUCUGGCUUGAUUCACAAAGAAUCAGGAAAUUCAGUUGAAACACAAACCGUUUUUAUUUGUGUACUGUCUGUAGAAAUAUCAUGAAAUAUUAUGGCAACAAAACCUCAAGCAGGGCCAUAGGGCUGCUCAAUUAAGAGUUUAAUAAGUAGCAGUUCCCAAACCCAUGUAGGUAAUUAAGACCCAGGGUCCAAAUCCUCUGCUAUCUGCAUGUCUCCCGUUUUCAUUUAGGACGAGUAACUGGGGUAGGAAGAUGACAGAGAUUCAGAUGCACACAUGUUAUGACAGAGACAAUAACUUUUUGUACAAUGUCCAAAAAGGAAUGGAAAAGAUUUUUUGAAUUGUGGUUAUGGGCUAGACCCUUGACUUUUUAUUCUGUUGAAUCACACAUGUGGUUUUCUCUACGGGUACAGAAUAUUUAGAACACUUUGGAAAAUCAGUUUUAACAAGCCUUCAGUGUAGCUACAUUAUCCCACACGUAGUAGGUACUCAAUAAUAUUUAUGGAAUCAUUUAUUUGACAAGAAAAUAAUUAUUCAACAAAUAUAUAUUGAGUUUUUAACAUAUGCCAGGAACUUUACUAAGCUCCUGGGAUAUAACAACAAAAAAGAAAGCACUCUUUUCUCUGAUGGAGACUAUGUUCUACUAAACAGGACAUAAACAAAUAUGUAGAAUAUGGAAUGUGUCCAAUGGUGAUAAGUGCUCUGGUAGGCUGAAUAAUAGGCCCCAAAGAUGUCCACUUCCUAAUCCCUAAACCUAUAAAUAUGUUCCCUUAUUUGCCAAAAAAGACUUUACAGAUGUAACGAAGUUAAGAAUUUUGAGGUGGAGCAGUUGCCUGGAUUAUUCAGGUGGGCCCAACAUAAUCACAAGGGUCCGUAUAAGAAGGAGAGGUGACAAUGGAAGCAGAAGUCAGAGUGAUGUGGGCCCACCAGCCAAGGGAUGCAGGAAGCCAACGGAAGCUGGGAAAGGCUGGAAUCAAACUCUCCCCUGUGGUUCCCAGAAGGAAUGCAGCCCUGUUUACACCUUGAUUUUAGCCUAGUGAAAUGAAUUUCCGAUUUCUAACUUACAGAACUGUAAGAAAAUAACUUUGUGUUGUUGGAAGCCACUAAGUUUGUGGUAAUUUGUUACAGCAGCAACAGGAGACUAAUAAAAAUGCUCUGGGGACAAUAAAGGAAAGGGGGUAGAGCCUGUUGAGGUGGAGGAGGCAGAGGGCUGAGAGUGGUUGCAAUUUAAAAUAAAGAGAGCGGGGAAGGUGUGUCAGAUUGUAAUGUCUAAAGAUGGCAACCAUGAUAUCACCCAUCCCAUAUGCUUUCCUUAGAAUGUGACUUUGAUACUUCUCCCACUAGAUGGUGGGUAUGGGGGAGGAGUGGGGUUCUCUGUUCCUCUCCUUACACAUGGGUGAGUUUAUGGCUCUGGUCAAAGAGAUACUGUGUUACUUCUGAGGCUAGGUCAUAAAAGGUAAUACAGCUCUUCGAAAUACACUCUUGGGACGCAGCCACCAUGCAGCUAGGAAGCCCGCAGAGCCAUGGAGAGACCAUACAUAGGUGUUCUGGUUGAGGUAUCCACUGACACAAUUGCUAGACUUGUGAGUGAGUCAGUUUUCAACUCCCAGCUGUGAUGUCACCCUCAGCUACUCUCAUUCUGCUCUUUCUGAGUUCCUAACCCACAGAAUCCUUGAGCAUAUAAAAAUGAUUGUUGUUUUAACCACUGAGUUUUGAGGACAUUUGUUAUGCCACAAGAGUAACUGGAACAGAAGGCCACAUUGAGAGGCUGAUGUUUAAGCAAAACCCUAAAGGUGGUAAAGGAGUCAUCACAAUGUCUAGUGAAAGAUUGUUCAAGGUAGGAGAAAAUGUAACUGCAAAAAGCCCUAAUGGGAAGGAAGGCCUUCUGUACCUGGUAGGUAUCAGGAACAGUUAGGGGCUGUUGUGGAAAUGCAGAAUGUGUAGGGGCUUGUAGACUGUAGGAAGAAUUUGGGCCUUUGCUCUGAGUGAAAUUGGAAAGUUCUGAGUGGGAUAGGUGAUGGUCUGACUCAGAUUUACAAAAGAUGAAUCCAACUGCUACUUUGAUAUGGCGGGGCAUGGGUGGGAGCAUGGAGACCAAGUAGAAGGGUAUUUUUCUAAUCAAAGAAAGCAACUUGGACCAGGAUGGUAACAAUAGGAAUGGUAAGUCAUUUGGGCAUAUUUUGAAGGUAGAGUCAACAGGUAUUGGGAUAUAUAUAUAUUUAAGAUCAAGGUAUUGUGAUAGAUUGGAUAUGAGUGAGAGAAAGAGAAUGAAUGUAAAAUUGGCUAAACAACUGGAAGAAUAGAUUUGCCACUUAUGAGGUAGAGGGCUGCUAAGGGACAGACUCAGAGAAAAAUCACAAAUUCAGUUUUGGGCAUAAUAAGCUUGAGAUGCCUCUUAGACAUCUAAGAGCAGGCUGUUGGAUGCAUAGGUUUGACACUCAGAGGGGUAUAGGCCAGAGACAUACAUAUAUAUAAUAGGGCUCAGCUUUGAGAUUGGUUGAGAUCAUCAAGGACAUGAUUGAAGAAAGAGAGGAGGUUCAAGCACUCUGAUGUUUAGGGAUCAGGCAAAUGAAAGGAGCCAGCAGCAGAGACUGAAACUGUAUAUAGCCCAAAAGAAAGGAGGAAGAUGGGGAAGGUGUGAUUUCUUGAAAAGCAAUUAAGGACAGUAUUUCAAGGAGGAGGGAGUGAUCAGCAACGUCAAGUGAUGAGGUUAAGCAAGGUGAGAACUGAGAAGUGGCCAUUAUCUUUAGCAAUGUUGGAGUCACAAGUAUCCUUCAUAACCCAAUCUCAUUGGUAGUGGUGGUGGAGAAUGAAUGAAUGAAUGCUAAUCGGGUAUUUUUUCUUUGAAAGAAUAUGGGACAUUUUGCUGUUACAGAACAAGACAAAGGACAGGAAAGUAUGCUGAGAUGUCCAAAGCAUUAGCUGGAGUACAUUCAGAUGUUAAACUGAGAACUCUGGACACAAUGUUAUUGGAAGGGUUCAGAGCUUCCAAGGCUGAACUGUGGUGAAAAUUAAAAAGUCCUAAGCAAGCAUAAGGCAUAUCCUUUGCUCAUUGCCAAUUAAAUGGAUCUCAAACUUCCUUCCAAGAUGAAGACAAUUUGCUUCCGGGUUAGAAAUGCAGCCUCUGAAUUCGUCUAUCUAUAUGUGAAUCUUGAUUCUAACCAUUAGCCAAGUACAUGGCUUAUUUAAAUCUCAAAUUCCUUGUCCCUAAAAUGGACUAAUAAUGGUAUACACCACAUAGGAUGGUGUAAGGAUUGGAUUAUAUUUAACAUGAACUGUGUCUGACGUGUGGUAAACUUUCAGUGACUGUUAGCUCUUACUACUAUUAAUUACAUAAAGUGGGAGAAGAGAAGUCUUUUGUAUUGGCCCAAGGCAAAUCCAUGCUACCCACAUAAAUAUUGAAUAAGCUGAUCUUCAUAAGGGUAACUUUGUCUGUUUAGCUGUUUUGCUGUAAUGGAGAUUGUCUGCAGUUGGAAGUGUUUGUAGUCUCGGGUAAUUCCAUGCAUCCUUUGUUAUGUUAGACUCUAACCAGUAAAGAGGGGUUGCCAUUUUUAACCUUAGUAUUUUAUUGUCAGGAUCAAAACACACAAUAAAAGAACUUUAUAAACUUUAUAAAGUAUUGUGAGGGUGUAAGUCAGUGUUGGUUUAUGACCAUGGCAUUGGCACUUUGAUGUGAACCCUUUGGAGUCCAAUUGUCUCAAGCUUUGACCACCCCUGCCUUCCCCCAAAACCUACCACUAAUACACAUGCACACUUAGAAUGGGCUAUUUUGGUACUGGGAAUUCAUACAUGAUCACACUCCAAAAGGAGCAGAUGAAAAACGCUUGAGAAGGCUAAAAAGGAACACACAGAACUGAAAAACCAUUCCUUAAAAAUUUCAAAAGUCUGAGUUGUUUUCAAAUUUGGUAACCCUAACACGUCCAUGUGAGGUGAUCUGGGACUAUGUGAAAGUAGACAUUGCCCUAACAAAAUAAUGAAAAGGGAAUGAUAAAUGCAGCAAUUAGAGAAUCCUAACUCAACUUCCACACAUGGAAACAAUUGCCUAAAUUAUGGCAAAAUGUGGCAAUUCCAAACUGGCCUCAUUAUUUACUUGAGAACAAAAUCAUAGAACACAGAAAAAUCAUCCUCAUAUGCGAGUUUUGCUGUUCACUCUUCUAAAUUAUUAUUUGCAUGCUGUAGUAUUUGGAUUAAAAGUUUCACUCUCUUCUCCUUCCUUCCCCCCCAAAAUCAGGUCCUUAACACCAAAGUAAAGCACAAGACUAUUAUCUCAGUGAUUCUUUGAAUUCUUGCCUUAGUAUCUUUGCUUUUUACAGAAAAACCUUCUGUGGUUGACAGAAAAAAUAUGAAUGAAUACAAAAGAUGAAUCUAAAAAGCAUCUACCAGCUUGGCAGAAGAACUACAGAAACCCCAGUAUCCCAGUUCUUGCUGCCAUAUGUGCAAAGAAACUUGGGAAACACUCUUUUCUAAGCCCUUGCUACUCAGAGUGUAGAUAAUGGAUGAGGAGCACCAGCAUCAACUGCAGGCCUGCUAGAAACGCCUAACUUCAGGUCCUACACCAGAUCUUCUGAAUCGGAAUAUGCAUUUUAACAAUCUCCCUGGAUAAUUCAUAUGCAUCCUGAAGUUUGAGAAGCAAUUUCUCAAACUCUUACCAGUUCAGGCUGAGGGGAGCUUCCAAACUGCUUGUUCAGCUUACUGUGAGCCUGCAGUUUUAAAAUUCAUCUUAGAUUCAUGCAGGUGACUGACAGCAUUGAGGACAAGUGUACAAUAAGCCUCAUACCAUUAUGCAUAAAUGUUCCUCCUUACCCAUUAAAAAGGUUCAAAAGGUACUGUUCUGCAGAUAUUCCACAUAAUGACCUUCCAAAUUUCUUGGCACCAGUCAUCUUCUAAGAGACUCUGGUGCCUGCACAUAUUAAAUUAAACCUCCUCUCUUUGUAAACUGUCAGUUAUCUGCUACUGACUUUUGAGCUAUGUCCCAUAAAUGAGGUUAUUGGAGAAAAUAUAUCAGGUAUAACAUAGACAAACUAUAGACAGAUGCUUAAGGAAAUAAAAAGAUUAAGGUACCUUUGACAAACCAGCCUAAUUAUCAACUGUGGUAUAGUUUCUGAGUCAUUGAAAUUCUGUUUUUCAUGUGUUCUGACAGUGUAGGGGAGAAAAACAGAAAUCUGCUUUAAGAUGAUAUUCACAAACACACAGCUGUUACCUUAACUAUAGGGUCAUGCCCACAUUUUUCUUGUUUUUCAGGUGUUUUCUGAGGAUGUAUUAAGUAGAAUUUCGAUGAGUCGGAGAGCUCUAUCCAAUGUAUAAAUUAAACUUAAAGCUUCUCAAAGCAAGUUCAAGCCAAAUUGCCCUCCUCUGCUUAUUUGAGGCAGUUACUAAGAAGCAAUGGAAAUGACACUUUUUAAGCCAGACUCUCAUAAAUCAGGUGUUUCCGCACUUCUUGAAGUGACAAUAGAAAGCCAAUUGGAAAGCAAAAGACACUGCUCCCAAACUGUCGGCAGACUUUAGAGUGAAUAUAAUGUUUGACAGGAAAGAUUGUGUGUGAACAUUAUUCAUUGCACCAAAAACCACCCAAAGGCACCUUCCGAGCAAAGAUUAAUGAAAGAGAAUUCUCAGGAAGUAACAUAAUACAGAAUCUCUUCCUCUUCUCCACCCACUUCUCCUUUAGGGAAAUCCAGAUUUAGCUUGGGACAAAAGUUAGAAUUCUGAAGGUGUGAUGAAAGGCAAGUCGUAGUCUACAAGGCUGUUACAGCAUGAGGGUCUUACUUCUGGACAUAUGGGAUGGCAUUUCUUAACCCGAUUCAGAUAUCCCUUAGGAGACUGUGAAGACUGCAUUGUUGAGAAGCUAGAUAUUCAGUGUCCCAUCCACACAGGAAACCAAUACCCCAACUUUAAUGAUCUUCAGUUUGAUUUUAGUUUGUUGUUCUCCUAGUGUCACUCUGAAUUCAUCAAAUUUUCAAAUGUCAGACCCACCUUCUUGACACUCUUAUUAAUAUUCUUUGCCUGUCAGAAUUGAUCAUGGGCUCUUUGAAGAGUCAGUGCAGAGUUACUGCUUAAAGUAAAAACAUGGAAGAAAGACUGAUUUGUCAGUCUAUACUUACAAGCAGCUGAAAUUUUCCUUUGAAAUGCAGAACUUUAAAAAUCCUUCUAAGUUCUGUGGCUGAGGAACCAUAUCCCUAGGCAUUCUAGAAACUCACCUCCUUGAAAAAGUAGGUUGAUGAUCUAAGAAUGGGAGGUUCCUCAUUUUCAGAACUGCAUGCUAUCUGAUUGCCAGCUAAAUAGUGUGGGUCGUUUUCUAGUCAAUAAUGAAGAUUAUCAACUCGUAGACACUUUUUAGAAUUGAGUUGUACAUUUACUGUGAUCCAAUCUAAAGAAGGCUUCCAUUGGAUGUAUGCUAACUACUCACACUUUGAACUUGGUGAUUCUCAAGUUUGUUGAGCCUUAGGAUUCCUUUUAUUGUUUGUUUGUUUGAGACAGAGUCUUGCUCUGUCACCAGGCUGGAGUGCUGUGGCACGAUCUCAGCUCACUGCAGUCUCUGCCUCUGCCUCUCAGGUUCAAGUGAUUCUCCUGCCUGAGCCUUCUGAGUCGCUAGGAUUAUAGGCACACGUCACCAUGGCCGACUAAUUUUUGUGUUUUUAGUGGAGAUGGGGUUUCACCAUGUUGGCCAGCCUGUUCUCGAAUUUCUGGCCUCAAGUAAUCUACCUGCUUUGGCCUCCCAAAGUGCUGGGAUUACAGGCGUGAGCCACUGGUGGCUGGCCUUGCAUUUAAUCUUGUUAUUAAUCCAGAAAAUUAGAAAGGAAUAUGUCCAGGUGUUAUCUUUGUUCCUUAUGUUGACUUUUUAGAGGGUAGAUGAAGGAAAUGUUCAUUAAAGAAUGCCUUUGUAAUUUUGUAAUCAAUAACACAUCCAUCAUAUUUCUCAAAGCCCCCCUUAGUAAAGUCCAGUGAUACUUAUUUCUAGUAUAGCUUGCUUCUAUAAAAUAACUUAAAGAUUUCCUUUUAUUGAAUAAUUAGGAGAUAAAGGUUCCAGUGAGAUUUCUUUUCCCCUUGGGUUUCAGAAAGUUUGGGGCAAAGUUAUGUGAUUAAUUAUUCCAAUUCAACUAGAAUGUAUGUAAUCUUUCUAAAGUGUUUUCUGAAUUUUAAAAAUUUUAUGUUUAAUUACUCUGCCACAUUUCAAUAUCAUAAGACUCAUGGCUUGGAAAACAGAAUGUGGGUUGAAUUCAGUCUCACUUGUGCAUCUCAUCUGAUACCUUUGUGUAGGGCACAAUGAAGCUGUAGCCCUGGCCGAUAUCCCCAUCUCCUGUUUUUUAUUUAGGGAAAGGGUCUCCUUCUGUUAUCCAAGCUGGGAUGCAGUGAUGUGAUCAUAGCUCACUGAAGCCUUGAACUCUUGGUCUCGAGUGAGCCUCCUGCCUCAGCCUCACAAGCAGCAAGAAGUACAGGCAUGAGCUGUGAUGCCUGGCUAGUUUUUAAAAUUUUUAUAGAAAUGGGGAUCUCACCGUUGCCCAGGCUGGCCUCGAACACCUGACCUCAAGUGAUCCUCCUGCCUCAGCCUCCCAAAGAAGUGGGAUCACAAGUGUGAGCCACAGCACCCAGACUCAAUUCUCCUUUUAAUCUCUGGGGCCCUUUGCCAACUUGCAUGUUUGCAGUCUUAGGGCAAGUCCUAGUACUGGUCUGAAUAAGGCACUUGCUGGCCCCUUUCCAACCAUUGGGCCAGAGAUGUGGAUUUAGGUUGGCCUGAUGAUCUUCUAAUGCCACUCAUUUCCCAGCAGGUGAGCUGUCUCCUUUACGCUAUCAGGUACAGGUGCUCUUGUGUCAUUUGUCCCUACCUAUUUCACAUUUGGUUGCCUCCUGUUCCCUUGGUUAAUUCACAUAAACUUAAGAGCACAUACACACACACACAUUAUGUGCAUAAUACUUUUUUUUCUUCUUUUUUUUUGAGGCAGAGUCUUACUCUGUUGCCCAAGCUGGAGUGCAGCGGUAUGAUCUCAGCUCACUGCAACCUCCACCUCCAAGGUUCAAAUGAUUCUCCUGCUUCAGGCUCCUGAGUAGCUGGGAUUACAGGUGCCUGCCAUUAUGCCCAGUUAAUUUUUUUAUUUUUAGUAGAGGCGGGGUUUCGCCAUGUUAGCCAGGCUGGUCUAGAACUCCUGACAUCAGGUGAUCCACCUGCCUUGGCCUUGCAAAAUGCUGAGAUUACAGGCAAGAGCCACUGUGUCAGGUUGUGCACAGUGCUUUUUACUGAUCUUUCCCAAUCUUUAUUAUUUUAUUGGUGAUGGAGGCCAGAACAAUAAGGGACUGAGCAAAAUUUUCUCCUUGUUAUUUGAGCAGCAGGGUAAUUUACUGAGGUUUUAACUUGGUGUUGUUUUUACUUCUAACAAAUCGAGCAAGGAUGAGUACCAGUUGUUUUAUUCUCUUUAUUUCCUCCUUUCUCUUUCCUAGAAGAGGUCUCAGGCUUUGUACUUCUUGGUUCAGGGGUAUUUGAAGAGCUGAAAGCAGAAACUGCUUGAAACAACUUCUCUUUCUGGCCCUUCUGAAAGUCUUGAGAAUACUAAGCAAGUGUGUCCCCUGACAAGGAAGAAACUGGAGAAGAGUAGGCCAAAGAAUGUCAGACAGAUGGCAAGAAUUGAGGUUGCUGUAGACCCGUGUGGAUUCGCCACCAGUAACAAAACCAUAAUUACACAGGGAGGGUUUCUUCCAUCAGGCUGGUGGCAUGCUCCUUCUACAGCAGAAUAUGCUGCGGCUUUUUUCUUAUUCUUUUGGCCUUCAGAAGAAAGAGUGCUGCAUGCCAGUGUCUUCAAGUGGAUACUUCUGAGGCCCUUCAGAAAGAGCAAGAAUGGAUCCAGAGAGCUGCUUGGCCUCAGGAUACUCCUUUGGUUCAUCUAUAUUCACCAGGGACAUUCCAGUGUUGUCGUUUUUAAACGGAGUUCAGAAGUGUCCUAGCAUGUCUCAUGAACCACUAGGGCAGACCUGAGCAAUGUCUAUUUUCAUGGGGACCUGAGCUGCUUCCUGAAGAUAAUGCAUCCUACAGAGGAAGAAACCAGGCUCUAGAGCUGAUGCACAGAGCCUCAGCCAGAGAGGGGAGCUGAUUUUGAAUAUGGCAUGGUGCUGUCUCUCUAUUCCUUCCUGAGCACACACCCAGAGCCUCAUGCUGGUGCCAGUAACAUUGGUUCCCAAGCAGCACUGCUUUGGAGCCCUUCUGGUGGAAAUAAGACUAAAUGGAGAGAGACACCCCAACACCACUUUGCAUCAACUGCUGUGGAGCUUGGUACCUUCAGGGCUUUGGCUCAUUGCCUGAUGACAAUGGAGGAGGAACCCUCCAAAAUGAAGUUUCUUUCUAUGCACAUAUGAGAUAACCCUGGAGACACACAGAAAUGUUCAAUAAGCAUAUUUUAGGAUACUAGGGUGCUAUAUGAACAGCUGUGUAAAAGUCGGUAAAUCUGAAUUAUUUUGUAUCCAUAGGCUGGUGGGGCUUGAGGAAACUGGAGUUCACAAAGGCACAGUGUAUAUGCCAAAUUUUACCUGUGAAUUAUUUUAAUAAAUAAUUACUUUGUGCCUGGUAUGUCUGGCAUUAUGCUAGGUCUGGAAUUUAUAGGUCUCUGAAUCUAGUGGUAAUGAAGAGAUAUCAAUAAGUAACAACAAUGAUGAUGAUGAGGAAGAGACAAUGAUGACAAAAAUUGCCAUUUGUUGAGUAUUAAUUAUAUGCAUGCAUUGUGCUAGGUAUUUAACAUAUAUUAUUACUAAUCUUUGCUACAGCCAUACAAGACAGUGCUUAAUAAGUCCAUUUUAAAGGUGAAGAAAAUUGAGGCACAGACAUGUCAUAUGGUUGGUAGAUGUCAGAGAUGACAUUCAAAUAUAGAUUUGUAUGACCACAAUCUGAUGUCUAUUACGUUAUAGGUCGCUUAGCAGAAAAACAUUUACUGAACAAUGGAAUAAGAGGGAAAAGAGAAAUCCAUGUGACUCUUGACUGCUGAGAACUGAGCAUCAGAUUUCAGAUAAGCACUUUCAGUGCUUGAGCAUAUAAAAUGUUAUAGCAGUGACUAUAAGAUUGCUUACAUAUAUGUGUACCAUAUAGUAGUUCCUCAUCAUUUUGCCAGGAAGAUAAGAAGGGGAAUACUAAAAGUAUCAGAAUAUUGGCCUUUUCCUAGCAGCUUGAAGGAGCAGCUUGUUCCAGAGUGAUGGCGAUUGAGAAAUGCCUAUGACAUCAUCUUGUUCUCUUAGGAUCCAAUGGGAGUUCAUGAUGACUCAGCCACAGCUAGCACAGAGCACACGGCACAUUCACUCCAUAUUCGCUCAAUUUAAUUUCUCCAAUGAAAAGCAAAUGUGUUUAUUAUUUAUAGGAACAACCUCCAUCCAAAAAAAAGAGCAGUUAUUGUCUGAAUAAAAGGAUGCUCCAAGUUGUGAAGUUUCCCGGCUAUUUUGUGCUUCUAAGACCACCAAGAUUAAUAUGAAAACCCUUUGGAAAGAUUUCAGGAGUAAAGAGAAACUGAAAGUUAAAGUGUGAGAAGUGAAUUAAAGUUCAACCUGGAAAGAAGACAUAACAUCUUUGACAAGAUAAUAUAAGCCAAUAGGAAAAUGACUCAAUUUAUACGUAACCUUUCAGGAACACGUUUAUUUUAGCACAGGAAGCACACCUGUACGUGCAGACUAGCACCGACUCAAUCUUGUCAGAAGAAUAGAGUGUUCUUUUACUAAUAGGAGCUACUUCAUUAUUUCCACAAAGAUGAACACAGUCAAUGACCCAAAAGUUAGAUGUAUAGAUGGUCCACUUAAGAUUUGAGAAUUGUGAGGAAAAUAUGCCAUCACCCUAAAUAAGCUACUCAGUGACAUCUAAUCUUGAAGGAAGACAAGAUGUUUCCUGACACUUGUUUAUUGCUGUUCUGAUACACUGGGCAAAUUAUUUGCUCUCCAAGAAACAGAAACCUAUCCCUCUAAUGCUAUUACCAUAAUACUCUAGACAAAUACAUGCAAUUUCAUGUCAUUUUAUCUAGGCAUAUCAACUGGAUUUUAUGCUGUCAUUUUUCCCAGGCAAAGCUGAUAUCAUUACCACAUGACUUCAGCCAGCAAACAGUUCUGCUGUUAUCUCAUAUCCUCAUAGAAUCCUUUCCCCCAGAUGUUAGUUUCAUUCAAAUGCAUUCCAUAUGAACAACAUUCGAAGGAACAGUUUUCUAAUCUCCCAUCCCCCAUUCUCCCUUCCGAAAAUCAUCCUUACAAGAGAAAUUUAGGGUUUUUCUGGCAAGAACUUAAAGAUAUCCAGUUUAAGUGCUUAAUUCUAGGAUGUGGAGUGGAGCAGAGCACUUGAGCUGUGAAAGAGCUGCGUGUUUUUAUUGUAGGCCCCUCUCUGCUACACUCUUCACACUUGAUUAUGCAUCAAACCUAAAAUUCCAUUUCUCAGCACAACUGCAGUCCCCAACAAAAGCUCAGUGAGGGAUCCAUUUCUUUUUCCUCUACAUGUACCCUUGGCUCCUAUUAAUUUUAAUGUAACUUACAUGAUAGUAACAAUAUUCAUAAAUUCAAAAGAUAACCACUGCCACUUUUGGAGCUUUUCCAUUUAAUAACAUUAAUUUCAUACCAAGUAUGGUUAUUUGGGCAAAAGAAAAAAUUCUUUCUGUAACUUUCCUCCUAGACAGACAAGCGAGAAUAUAUUGUAUUAUAAUUGUAAUUUCAAUCAUUUUGAAGCCCAGCUGCUGCCAUAGAUUACUUUUCAUAUGUGUAUCUAUAAAGUGACAUGAUCAGCUUACUCAAAUACUUCUUGUCUUAGUUUGUUAGGGCUACUACAACAAAAUACCAUAGACCGGGUGGCUUAUCAACAACACAAACUUAAUUCUCACAGUUCUGGAAGCUGGAAGUCCAAGAUAAGGGUACUAGCAUGGUCAUUGGUGAGGGCCACCUUCUGGAUUGCAGAAUGCCAACAUCUUGUAACCCCAUGUGGCAGAAAGAAGGAGAACUCGCUUGCGGGCCUCUUCUUAUAAGGGCAUUAAUCCAUUCAUCAGGGCUGUACCCUCAUGGCCUAAUCACUUCCCCAAGGCCCCACCUCAUAAUACCAUCACAGUGAAGAUCAGAUUUCAACGUAGGCAUGUAUGGGGAAUGAGUGGGUUGCAUAACACUUCCCUAGAGAGCAAAGGCCCCAGGAAAGCCAAUGUCUUACCGGGCUACUAAGCUCCACCUGAUCAAUCUAUUAGACUGCAAGAUCAAUGAAGGAAGAAGCAAAUCUGUCUCACCUACCACUUGCUAUUUAGCAGACCCUCUGGGAAAGCCCUGUGCCUGUCUGCCCCUAGAUGCAGUCUCUGCAGUGUGUGUGUGUGUGUGUGUGUGUGUGUGUAGGGAGGGUCUGAGGGUACAGAGAAACGAGGGGGUUCUCUCUCAUUUUCCAACAGCCUAGGGCAGCAUCCUUUGUGGAGACUGCAUCUCUUCCAUGGCUCCAUUUCCACCUGAUAGGCCCCACUGUGGUUCUGGCUUCCCCAAGGCCCCUGCUCUGAAUUCCAGCAACACUCCCUCCUCCUACUGUCCUGGAGGUCUAGGAGUGGUAAUUCCUUCUUCCUGAUACUAUUUUCUGGGGUAUCUCACCAUCCUGUUUGGCUACAGCCCCUCUUUCACAUAUAUCACUGAUUCCGGGUAAUUGAAUUACCCUGUUCUUUUUUUCUAGUUGGACCUUCAAAAAAUUCUUGCUGAACAAAUGAACCUUGUAGGAGUUUCUGUCGCUGGACACUAUUACCGGGGUGACUCUGCAGCUCUCAGAGGACCAGCACCCUGCUGCUCACCCCUAGGCUUUUCUGUGUUGUCAGAGUAUGUCCCCAGACCAGCAGUAGUACAGGGGCUGUAGUCCCAACAUCACCUGGAAAUUUGUUAGAAAUGUAAACAUGGAAAUCUUCAGACCCCACACCAAACAUUCAGAAUCAUAAACUCUGGAACAAUCUGAGUUUUUAAGCCCUCCAGGGGAUUGUGAUACAAGCUAAAUUUGAGCACUACUGUCCUACAGACUGCAAGACCUCACUCCAGGCAGAGAACCCUUAGCCCCAGGCCUACAGUGCACUUGCAGGAGCCUUAAAUGUUCCCUAAGUGAGACCAUCCCAACUUCUAAGCUACAUCAAUUAAUAAGAUAAGGAAAACACCACAUCAUAUUGAUGAAGCUCAUUAAGAAUUCUUUACUAACUCUGUUUAAUUCUUCCCAAUGAUCAGUUGAAUGUCAACCGACUAGCUUUUCAUUUUAACCUGAAAUUAUCCUUUUCAGACAGGCUAAUUUAGUAAGGUUGACAAUAUUCAGACUUUAAGAACUUUCAC